UGCUGAUGGUGACUGAUGCUUUUCUUUGUUUCUUUUCCUGCUUUCAUCCACUGAUGGCGUCGAGCAUCGCCGAGGAUGUGAUCGAAUGCGGAAUAUUAUAAACGAGGAGCUUCAUUCCGGAUUUUGUUUGCAAUAAGCGCUGAACUCAUCCUCCAGCUUACAACGAACGGUCAACGGAUGAGGAAGGAGAGGAGGGACGGCAAAUGUACACGCACAAACGUGCACACAUCAGCCUUGUCGGAGAAUGAGAACAUGGGAGGGGGAGUCCGGCAACGUAUAGAGCAUCUUCAUUUACGCUCCCUCGUGCGUUCGUGCGUGCUUGCGCCCGCGCGUCUAUGUGUGUGUAUGUGUGUUCAUGCCUGCGUGCGUGGCUGUGUGUGUUUUUGCCGCCUCGCAUAACGAGAUCCUACGGGAUCACCUUG